GAUGAACGCUGGCGGCGUGCCUCAAACAUGCAAGUCGAGCGAGGCUAUGAGUUACCGCAAGGUAAGGCAUAGCCUAGCGGCGAACGGGUGAGUAACACGUGGGUAACCUACCUGGAAGACAGGGAUAACGAUUCGAAAGGGUCGCUAAUACCUGAUAAUAUCCAUCUGCCGGAUGGCGGAGGGAAGAAAGGGGAAACCCGCUUUCAGAUGGGCCCGCGUCCCAUCAGCUAGUUGGUAAGGUAAAGGCUUACCAAGGCGACGACGGGUAGCCGGUCUGAGAGGAUGUACGGCCACACUGGGACUGAGAUACGGCCCAGACUCCUACGGGAGGCAGCAGUUGGGAAUCUUAGGCAAUGGACGAAAGUCUGACCUAGCGACGCCGCGUGAGGGGAAGAAGGCCUUCGGGUUGUAAACCUCUGUCAUGGGGGAAGAAGGGAAGUGACGGUACCCCAAGAGGAAGCCCCUGCUAACUACGUG
rnacentral:rRNA from 1 species